GGACUCCAUGGGAGUGAGGGCGGCAGGGCCCGCUUCCCAGGAAGAAAGGCAGACAAUAUCUCUGCUUUUAAACACAAACAAGCGCACAGUUGUGAGUCACAAAUUACUCCGUCUCUGCAGGAGGUCCAUCCUGAGAUUUGUUUGGGCCUCUGCAGGAGAAUUGGCUCCAUUUUCACUUAGAUUACAGAAAAGCUAAGGCCAACCAGGAGCAGGGAGGAAGCUGUCACGUGGCGUGGCGUCUUGCAGAGCGCGAGCUGCCAGUCACAGCCCUGGUGAAGGACCGGGUGGGACAGAAACCUCAGACAACACUAACCCACUGCGCUCACAAAACUACGAUAACCCUGGGGUGGAAGAGGACGACAGAGGAAUGAUUUUAAGUCUCAGAACUAGCCAGCACUCUCAGGAGAAUAAGGAAAUGUGUAAGACAGUGGAUUUUUGCAAAACCACGACCUUAUCUCUUUCCCAACGUCAUUGCUACAAGUGUAAGUUUCCGUGAUUUUGUGUGUGCCAGUCAUGACUCGGCUCUGCAGGUACCCUACCCUCUGCUAAAAUAUAUCACAGAACUAAAGGAACCAAACCAAAGUGGAGCUUGUUAUACAGUGAUGACAGCCACCCCAGAAACAUCCCAACACGGCAACCUAACCCAUGGCUUUUACGAAAGGCUUCCCAGGGAGAAAACAUCCCACAUAGGCUACUGACACAAUCUACUGCCGAGAGAGGAAACACAGUCUUGAUGUUCCCUUCCAGAUGUGACUUCUGUGUCACAUGACUCUGCUCCACCCUUGUGACCUUAAAGCGGGCAUCUGCCAAAGGUCUACAAAGAUCCUGAGGCCUAGGGUUCCGGUUUCCCCUGGAUACCCAUAACCCAGCAAGAACGUCCUCUACUCCACAGACUGUCACCUCCUUAGGAGUUCCCAGGGUUCAGUGGAAGGUGGAUCAUAGAACCACAGUAUGUUUUAAUGUAUGUAUGU